rnacentral:rRNA from 1 species
AUACGUAGGGAGCGAGCGUUGUCCGGAUUUACUGGGUGUAAAGGGUGCGUAGGCGGGACUGCAAGUCAGGCGUGAAAUACCGAGGCUCAACCUCGGGGCUGCGUUUGAAACUGUGGUUCUUGAGUGAAGUAGAGGCAGGCGGAAUUCCGAGUGUAGAGGUGAAAUUCGUAGAUAUUCGGAGGAACACCAGUGGCGAAGGCGGCUUACUGGUCCAUUACUGACGCUGAGGUGCGAAAGCGUGGGGAGC